rnacentral:rRNA from 1 species
AACUCGCCUACAUGAAGCUGGAAUUGCUAGUAAUCACAGGCCAGCAUACUGUGGUGAAUACGUUCCCGGGCCUUGUACACACCGCCCGUCACACCAUGAGAGUUGAGAAUACCCGAAGCCCAUGUCAAAGUGGUCGAAGGUAGGCUUGAUGAUUGGGGUGAAGUCGUAACAAGGUAAC